rnacentral:rRNA from 1 species
UACGUAGGGGGCAAGCGUUGUCCGGAAUUAUUGGGCGUAAAGAGCUCGUCGGCGGUGUGUCGCGUCGGCCGUGAAAACCUGCAGCUUAACUGUGGGCUUGCGGUCGAUACGGGCAUCACUGGAGUUCGGCAGGGGAGACUGGAAUUCCUGGUGUAGCGGUGAAAUGCGCAGAUAUCAGGAAGAACACCCGUGGCUAAGGCGGCUCUCUAGUACGGUACUGACGCUGAGACGCGAAAGCGUGGGGAGCGAACAGG